UAGUCCAUGCCCUAAACGAUGUUAACUCGAUGUUUGCGUAAGUGAGCAUCCAAGGGAAACCGUUAAGUUAACCACCUGGGGAGUACGUUCGCAAGAAUGAAACUCAAAGGAAUUGACGGGGGCCCGCACAAGCGGUGGAGCAUGUGGUUUAAUUCGAUGAUACGCGAGGAACCUUACCAGGGCUUAAAUGUGGUCUGACAGCUUUAGAGAUAGAGUUUUCUUCGGACAGAUCACAAGGUGCUGCAUGGUUGUCGUCAGCUCGUGCCGUGAGGUGUUAGGUUAAGUCCUGCAACGAGCGCAACCCCUAUCAUUAGUUGCUAACAGGUUAAGCUGAGGACUCUAAUGAGACUGCCGGUGCAAACCGCGAGGAAGGUGGGGAUGACGUCAAAUCAUCACGGCCCUUACGUCCUGGGCUACACACGUGCUACAAUGGCAGGUACAGAGGGCAGCUACCCCGCGAGGGGAUGCGAAUCUUCAAAGCCUGUCUCAGUUCGGAUCGC
rnacentral:rRNA from 1 species